AGUAUCAAAUUCACAACUCUGUUUUUCUAUGGCAAGUAAAGGUUCCCCUUCAUGUAUUACGGGGGAGAGAUCAUGGAGGAAAAAUGCUUCAGGGGAAGCACUUUCCCUAGCAGAAAUUGCCUAAAUCAUAGCUUCUCUACUUGAUGUGGUAGGAAAAAUGAGGACUGAUUCACUGAGGUUUUCCUGACCACCUUACACUCAUUUACCUUGAUUUAAUCCAGUUUAAAGAUACAAUAAUAUUUGUAGUCUUUAGAUUUAAUUUGUAUUAGGAAGACUUUCCCAGUUUUGGUGGGGGUGCUGUUGAGAAAAUUGGGAUUCUUAGUCAUUUAUGCAAAAAUGUAUCCCAGGUUGUCACCUGCUAAAUUCUGCAUGAUGUGCAAAAAAUGGCAAAAGGAAUGUUCAAUGUGUCGUCUGAUUUUUCAUUUAGCUGUAUAUGUAAGCCCACUGCUAGACCUAACCAUCAUGGUUUGGCUUAAGUCACAUUACUAUAUUUGAAACUGGCAGCACUUUUUCCCUUUUACAUAUGUGGUUAAAUAUCAGAAAAUUCUGUAACUAGCAAUUUUUGUUUCUUCUCAACAGAAAUAGACCACAUCUAGGUGGUGGUGAUAGCUCAUGCCCGGGCAUCAUUAAAUAAUUAUUUUAGCGUUUAGUAUGCCAAAUGGAUUGAUUUCUCAGAGACAGCUGGUUAUAGAGUCAGACUGACUAUGUUUCCAGUUUGUAAGUAUGCAAAUAAUGAGUUCUGAACUCCUUUGUCACAGGCGCCUGAGUUACUAAAAAGUUUAAGGCAAAGCCUGUUCCUUCAGGAAUUUCUAAACUAAUUAAGGAGCAGAAAUAAAUGUAUGAGAUACAUGAGCUAAUUUUCCAUUUAACACUGCUAAUAAAGGCAGUGUUUCCAAGAACUUCAUUUUAAGCCUGUUGGCUCUUUUUCAUUCUUUAACUUUUUCAUCCUUCAAGUCUGUAAAUAUGAGGAAGUGUAUCUCCAUCUCCAAACUCCUGCACAGUCUAAACCCAUGUUUAUAUCCAUCUAAAUUCUGUACUCCUUUUGAACUUUAUCAUCCUCCCAAACCCUACUGUCACUUCUUAAUCCAUUGUCUAUUUAUGUAGGUACUCAAGCCUUAAAUAUGGGAAUCUACUUAACUUUUCCCUAUGCAGUUAAUGAAUCAACAGGUACUUACAAUACUAUCAGAACAUUGUUAAUUGGCUAUACCCCAACACAAAAUGUUUUUGGUAUUAAAAAAAUUACAAAAAUAAAGUAAAAAUAAAACAAUUACUUAGAAUUCUAUUUCCUUUGUCUUUUUUACUUUCUUUGUGGUCUGUCCACUUCCCCCAGUCUCUGCAUCCACCACCUUAGUCUAUACCUCCAUCCCCUCUAAUCUGGGGUUACUUUGAUACCCCUCUUAAUUAGUCUUCCUAUCUUUGGUCUUGUUUUCUUCUAGCUCAUUCUACACAGUAAAAAGUAAAUUUACUUAUGAAUUCAAUUGCUAUUUAAAUGACUUUAAUACAUAUCGAUAUAAUUUAAGCUUCUUACCCAGCACAUAAAAGUCCUUCUAAGUAGCUUCCUCUGCCCCAGCCAGGCCAGGCAUAUAGAACUACUUGUAACUCUUUGCCCUCACUCUGUAACAAAUUUCUGCAUAUCCACCAAAAUCCACCUCAAGCACUAGUUCCUCCAACAGUCUUUGCUGAACCUCUCUUCCUGAAGUCUAAUUUUCAUGGUCUUUGCUGAGGCCUCAGAAGCCCUAUGCUUAUCUCCCAUACACCAAAAAUCACACAUUACUAUAACUAUCAACUUUUUUCUCAGUCUCUAUCUUAGACACCAUGGGCUUCCCAGAUGGUGAGGUGGUAAAGAACCUGUCUGCCAGUGCGGGAAACGUAAAGGUGGGGGUUCAAUCCUUGGGUCAGAAAAAUCCCCUGGAGUAGGAAAUAGCAACCCAAUCUAGCAUUCUUACUUGGGAAAUCCCGUGGACAGAGGAGCCUGGUGGCCUACAAUCCAUGGGGUCUCAAAGAGUUGAACAUGCCUGAGCAACUGAGCACACACACAGAUACUAGACACCACAUUAGAUCCUUAAGAACUGAUACCUAGACUUGAGUGACUCUAUCUUCCAGUGUCUACCACAAAGAAGAGGCCCAGUUAACACCUUUCAGAUAGGUGUAUCCUUGCAAUGAAAGACUACUCAGCAAUACAAAUAAAUAUACUAAUGAUACAUAUAACAUGGAUGAAUCUCCAUACAAUCAUGCCAAGUGAAAGAAGCCAGAGGAAAAGGAGUACAUACCACAUGGUUCCAUUUAUGUAAAUCUAAAAAAUACAAAUUAAUCUGUAGUGGCUGAAGAGAUAGGAAUGUGAGGAAAGUACAAGUAAAAGUUGCUCAGUCGUGUCCAACUCUUUGUGACCCCAUGGACUAU
rnacentral:lncRNA from 1 species